ensembl:lncRNA
AUGAGCAGCGUCAAUCAGACUCUUCCAUCCACUACAAAGCUGGUUGCUGAUGAAAUCAUACUUAGCGAGAAGAAAAAUUCUACUGUGAAGUCAACAUUCCAAACUAUUAAUGUUAAUGUUUCAAAGAAAGUGGCUACAUUAUUAAACACCAAAACGGAAAACCAGACUCAAUAUACUUCCUCAAAAACUAGCAGCGUCAGUCAGCGUCAAGACAUCGUCCCGAAACAUGUGCCUUCUCUUCAGGACCCACUUAGUGAGAAGAAAAAUUCCACUGUUAAGUCAACAUCCCAAACUAUUAAAGUUGCGACUACAUUAUUAAAGACCAAAUUGAAAGACCAAAUUUCCUCAAAAAUUAGUAGAGUGAAUCAGACUCUCUCAUCAUCUACAAAGCCUGAUGUGGACACCAUCCAGAAGCCCGUGCAAAGUGUACAAAACAAAGUUAGUGAGAAGAAGAAUUCUACUACCAAGUCAACAGUCAAUAGUGUUAAUGUUAAUGCUGAGAAACCAGUAACUACAUUAUCAAAGACCAAAAUGAAAGACCAAACUCAAUCUACUUCCUUAACAACUAGUAUAGUGAAUCAGACUCUCUCAUCAUCUACAAAGCCUGAUGUGGAAACCAUCCAGAAACCUGUGCAAAGUGAACAAAACACAGUUAGUGAGAAGAAAAAUUCUACUAUCAAGUCAGCAGUCAAUAGUCUUAAUGUUGAUGCUGAGAAACCAGUAACUACAUUAUUAAAGACCAAAAUGAAAGACCAAACUCAAUCUACUUCCUUAACAACUAGUAGAGUGAAUCAGACUCUCCCAUCAUCUACAAGGCCUGAUGUGGAAACCAUCCAGAAACCUGUGCAUGGUGAACAAAACACAGUUAGUGAAAAGAAAAAUUCUACUACCAAGUCAACAGUCAAUAGUGUUAAUGUUAAAGCUGAGAAACCAGUAACUACAUUAUUAAAGACCAAAAUGAAAGACCAAACUCAAUCUACUUCCUUCACAACUAGUAGAAUGAAUCACACUCUCUCAUCAUCUACAAAGCCUGAUGUGGAAACCAUCCAGAAACCUGUGCAAGGUGAAAAAAACACAGUUAGUGAGAAGAAAAUUUCUAUUACCAAGUCAACAGUCUAUAGUGUUAAUGUUAAUACUGAGAAACCAGUAACUACAUUACAAAAGACCAAAAUGAAAGACCAAACUCAAUCUAAUUCCUCAAAAAAUAGUACCACUGAUCAGACUCUUCUAUCCUCCUUGAAGCCUGCUGUAGAUGUUGUCCAGAAACCUGUGUCUUCUCUUCCAGCAACAACUGGUGCAAAGAAAACAACUAGUAGUACCGAGUCAGUGGGACACAUUAUUCAUGUUAAUGCUUCAAAGUCAGUAAACACCAAAAUGAUAAACCAAACCUAUUCUGUUUCAUCAAAACCUAGUAACGUGGGUCAGACUCUCGUAUCCACAGCAAAGCCUGUUGUAGAUGUCCAGAAAUCUGGUCCUUCUCUUCAAGGCACAAUAAGCAAGAAGAAAAAUUAUACUUCCAAGUUAACGACUCAAACUAUUAGUCAUAAUAUUCCCAAGCUAACUACAUUAGUGAAUACCAAAACUCAUCCAACUUCCUCAGAAACUAGUAGUAUCGAUCAGACUCUCCCAUCUACCUCAAAGCUUGAUGUGGAUGAAAGCACACUUAGCAAGAAGAAAAAUUCUACUGUAAAAUCAGUAUCCAAAAAUAUUGAUGUUAAUCCGCUGAAGACAUUAACUACAUCAUUAAACAUCAAAACAAAAACUAAAACUCAGUCUACUUCCUCAGAAAUUAGCAAUGUCAAUCAGACUGUUGCAUCUACCACAAAGCCUGUGGUCGAUAGAGUCCAGAAUCCAACUAAAGACAAACCUGCAGAGAGUUCACCAGUUAAAGUAGUCAUCACUGAGGGUUGCGUUCCUCAGGAGUCUCAGACAGACUCAGGUAACGUAACCAAAGUACAAGAAACUGAGCUCAGUUUGAAUCCUGGAUCUCCUCUGGUAAUGACUCAUCACAUCAACCUGGUUCAAGGAGCCUGCACAGGAAGCUGUGACACUGAGAUGGCCACACUGAGAGACAGAGUUGAGUUUCUUGAGAAGGAGAUGGCAGCGAUCAAAAAAAUGUGUAAGUAA